AAAUCCUUCACUUUUUUUUAAUUAUAUUUUCAUCGUAAGGCCAAUAGGCUUCCAUGGAUGUUGCUUGUACGGAUUUCUAUCUUCUUCCCUUGUUAGACUACCGUCUUUGAUAUCUCUUCCUUUUUUCGCUCCUAUCCCGUGAAGCGAUUACGUUCUUAUAUAGCUUUAUCCUAUAGUGCCGGAGUUGGUGACGAUGAAGACGACUGUGAUAGGUGUCCAACUCUAGAAGAAUCGAUUUUGAUGGGCGUACUUGUAAAAGGGAUUUCAUGGGGUUACAGUUAAAUCAGAUUCUCCUGUUCCCAUUUACAAAAUUUAGGAGGAAGAAACGAACAAAAACCAGAGCAAACCCGCCUUCUUCUUCUUCUUCUUCUUCUUCUUCUUCUUCAGGUAAAAGGGUUGUUUCCAGUGGUGGCUUUUGCGGCGGCUUUUGUUGCACGCGACCGCGUACUUUGGAAUCAGCUGAUGAGUCCAAACCCAACGACCCCAAUGAUCCAGCCUUCACUCAUCAGAUGGUUAGAACCUUGAUUGAGAAGAAUCAUUUCUACUCCGAAGAAUGCAAUCCCCAUUCAGAUUAGUAUCCGAUACAUCAUUGAUUUGAGAUUCUUUCUGUUUUUGUCACUUGCUGUGUGAUUUUGGUUAUGGGCAUGAUUUCCGCAAGGGUACUCAUGUUUCUGAUUAAUUGCAAGUUUUCCUUGGAUUCGAUCAUUAUGUUCUUGCAAUUGCAAAUAAUAAUCAGCCGAUAAUUUGGCACUUUGAUCGCAUUUUAAUUUCUGGAAAUACAACAAAUUUAGCUUCCCUUCUCUUGCUAGUUAUGUCUGAGUACACGAGUCGCUUAAAUUUUGAGCCAUUGCAUAUGUGACAAAUUAACCUAGCUGCAUUUUGAGUCACCUUACUGCCUUUACCAAUUAAGCAUUGCGAACAGGUUUAGGAUAUUUGAAAUGAUUUGUUUCACAUUGUUCUAUUGGUAAAGUGACGAUGAACAGAAAUAGAAAGGGUGCCCGAGUAAUCGAUGAUGCAAGGUUUAUGACAGAGACCUUUAUGGUGAUAGGUUAGACUUCAGCAGGUUCUUAGCUAUUUUCUUGUUGAUACCAUGUGGUUUUACCUCAAGAAUGUGGAGAAUAUACUCACAGCAAUUUAAGAAUAUCGUUUCACAUUUUUUAUCGAGUUCAUCGGUAAUGAACUAGUAUAUGCACAUAUAUAUGUUUGUAUUGUAUCCAUUCCUUUGUUUAAGGCGCAAGUGAACUCUUAUGAAGCUAAAAGUAAGGGUCAUUUCUUACAUAUCUGGGAUCAGGAUAAGGCUUGAAGGUGGUGGGGUACCUGAGGCAUUGCUGAACUAAAUGUUUGGAAAUGAUUUAGAUGUAUAAGAGGAUGUAUCAACUUUCAUCAUGGUUGUUGCACUUGCUGCACAAAUACGCCCGUUCUUCCAUGGCUGCGAUUGAGCUGAACUUUGGUCAUGAACAAGUGCUUAUCUUCACAUAUGGCCUCUAUAAAGCAUCACUAAGAGCUGAUGGGUGGUAACGCAUAUUUGCACAAUAUGUCAUGCGAGGACUUUAUUGUAUUAGCCAAAAAUGCAUUGACCGUGCGGCUGACAUAAUGGAUUCGGAUGUGGGUGUUGUCAUCCAGCAGCCGUUUUGCUUCUACCAGGUAGAUCAAGGCGACGAUGCACUAAGUAGUGCACAAGAUUAAUAGAAUCAAUUCUGACAAUUACUCGAGGAGCUCAUUCGAUUCGACUGCUAAUUGAAUACCUGCUGUAAGAGCUUGUGCCUCAGUGAUACUUGCAUCACCCCACCCAGCAAGUGGCAGCCGUUUUUGGCUCUGAGAGGGUCUCACAAUGCUGCCUUCAUGGGAAGUUAGGCAUGGAACCCACAAUGCUGCCUUCAUGGGAAGUUAGGCAUGGAACCCAAAACAACCUCUUGAUGGAUCAAAUAUGAUAUGGGGGAAUGCAGAAGGUACAGUUUAUGAGUUUAGUCAAAUUGAAUGUGGUCUAUAUGCUUUCUUGUAAGCGGAAGCUGCUCUAGUUUUGUGCAAAAUGUCGAGGUCGAUGAUUCAUGAAUGAGAUCAUCGCUAUUUUCCAACUGUUCAAGGGAUCGACUCGGGAGUAGGUUCAGAACUAGAUAUUUAGUUGGGGUUGAUUAUCGAAAGUAUUUUAAUAAUAAUUAUAUGUUAUGUAAUUUCAUGAAAU